GAUGAACGCUGACAGAAUGCUUAACACAUGCAAGUCCACUUGAACUUCGGUUUGGGUGGCGGACGGGUGAGUAACGCGUAAAGAACUUGCCUCACAGCUAGGGACAACAUUUGGAAACGAAUGCUAAUACCUGAUAUUAUGAUUAUAUGGCAUCGUAUAAUUAUGAAAGCUAUAUGCGCUGUGAGAGAGCUUUGCGUCCCAUUAGCUAGUUGGAGAGGUAACAGCUCACCAAGGCGAUGAUGGGUAGCCGGCCUGAGAGGGUGAUCGGCCACAAGGGGACUGAGACACGGCCCUUACCCCUACGGGAGGCAGCAGUGGGGAAUAUUGGACAAUGGACCGAGAGUCUGAUCCAGCAAUUCUGUGUGCACGAUGAAGUUUUUCGGAAUGUAAAGUGCUUUCAGUUGGGAAGAAAAAAAUGACGGUACCAACAGAAGAAGUGACGGCUAAAUACGUG
rnacentral:rRNA from 1 species